UACGUAGGUGGCAAGCGUUGUCCGGAAUUAUUGGGCGUAAAGCGCGCGCAGGCGGUUCCUUAAGUCUGAUGUGAAAGCCCACGGCUCAACCGUGGAGGGUCAUUGGAGACUGGGGAACUUGAGUGCAGAAGAGGAGAGUGGAAUUCCAAGUGUAGCGGUGAGAUGCGUAGAGAUUUGGAGGAACACCAGUGGCGAAGGCGACUCUCUGGUCUGUAACUGACACUGAGGCGCGAAAGCGUCGGGAGCAAACAGG
rnacentral:misc_RNA from 1 species